rnacentral:rRNA from 1 species
AUUGAACGCUGGCGGCAGGCUUAACACAUGCAAGUCGAGCGGAGAUGAGGUGCUUGCACCUUAUCUUAGCGGCGGACGGGUGAGUAAUGCUUAGGAAUCUGCCUAUUAGUGGGGGACAACAUUCCGAAAGGAAUGCUAAUACCGCAUACGUCCUACGGGAGAAAGCAGGGGAUCUUCGGACCUUGCGCUAAUAGAUGAGCCUAAGUCGGAUUAGCUAGUUGGUGGGGUAAAGGCCUACCAAGGCGAUGAUCUGUAGCGGGUCUGAGAGGAUGAUCCGCCACACUGGGACUGGAACACGGCCCAGACUCCUACGGGAGGCAGCAGUGGGGAAUAUUGGACAAGGGGGGGAACCCUGAUCCAGCCAUGCCGCGUGUGUGAAGAAGGCCUUAUGGUUGUAAAGCACUUUAAGCGAGGAGGAGGCUACUGAGACUAAUACUCUUGGAUAGUGGACGUUACUCGCAGAAUAAGCACCGGCUAACUCUGUGCCAGCAGCCGCAGUAA